rnacentral:rRNA from 1 species
UAUUGGGCUUGGUAAUUGGAAUGAGGGAGAGUUAAACGGACCAUCGAGUAUCCAUUGGAGGGCAAGUCUGGUGCCAGCAGCUGCGGUAAUACCAGCUCCAAUAGCGUAUAUUAAAGUUGUUGCAGUUAAAAAGCUCGUAGUUGGACUUGUGUGCGCUGUCCGCGGGUGGCCUGCGCCCAAAAGGGCGUUUCGGUUCGGCCCCGGUGGCGCCUUGAAAUCUGCAGCUGGGGGGACGUUGGCCUUAACUGGUCGGCGACCGCACGCCGGCUGCUCGGUUACUGUGAGAAAAUUAGAGUGUUCAAGGCAGGCAUUGGGUGCAAUUGAAUACAUUAGCAUGGAAUAAUAAAAUAUGGCUCCUGCCGUAUUUUGUUGGUUUUGACUGGUGGGAGUAAUGAUUGAUAGGGACGGUUGGGGGUGCUAGUAUUGAGCGGCCAGAGGUGAAAUUCAUGGAUUCGCUCAAGACUAACUUAUGCGAAAGCAUUCACCAAGGACGUCCUCUUUAAUCAAGAACGAAAGUUGGGGGAUCGAAGACGAUCAGAUACCGUCGUAGUCUCAACCAUAAACUAUGUCGACUUGGGAUCGGCGGUAGUUUUUUCAUUAAGACACUGUCGGGACCACGGGAGAAAUCAAAGUGUCUGGACUCUGGGGGAAGUAUGGUCGCAAGGCUGAAACUUGAAGGAAUUGACGGAAGGGCACCACCAGGAGUGGAGCCCGCGGCUUAAUUUGACCCAACACGGGGAAACUUACCAGGUCCAGAGAUGUAGAGGAUUGACAGAUUGAAGCUCUUUCUUGAUCACUUCGGUGGUGGUGCAUGGCCGUUCUUAGUUGGUGGAGUGAUUUGUCUGGUUAAUUCCGUUAACGAACGAGACCUCAGCCUGCUAGUGUAGUCGGCUGGAUUGCCUUUGGCGAUCCGCGAUUUCGACUUCUUAGAGGGACAAUCGACGCGCAGUCGAUGGAAGUUUGAGGCAAUAACAGGUCUGUGGUGCCCUUAGAUGUUCUGGGCCGCACGCGCGCUACACUGCUGGGCUCAGCGAGUUUUACUUGGCCGAGAGGCCCGGUUAAUCUUGUGAAAUCCCAGCGUGCUUGGGCUCGCCUCCUGCAACUGGAGGCGCCAACGAGGAAUUCCUAGUAGACGCAGGUCAUCAACCUGCAUCGAUUACGUCCCUGCCCUUUGUACACACCGCCCGUCGUUCCAUAAGAGUGAGGCAUCCGGUGAAUUCUCGGGAGAGCCUGGGCGUGGCCAGCAAUGGUCUGCUCGGGUUUGAACUUGCAUAAACUUGGUGCCUAUGAUUAGGG